rnacentral:misc_RNA from 1 species
AUAAAACCAUCCUUUGGGCUC